UCUGCUGCUGCCGCUCCCGGGCACAGGGGACUGGCAGUGCAGGGAUUGGGGCUGCUGCUGCUGUGCCCGCGCCGCGGGAGCGCGCCCUGCUGCACCUGGCCCCAGGCUCUCUGGGAUGUGCAGAAAACGCGUCCCGAACUCCGCCACUUCUCCCCGUCUCCAGCAGUGCGUGUGUGUCUCGCUCUCCCACACGCAGCAGAGCCACUCACGCUAGGGUCUCCUGCGCGGGGCUGAGCCGCCCUGUGUGCCCUGGCUGCUGAACAGGGGAACCCGACCCGCUGCCCCCGCCUCACCGCUCCUGCUUCUCAGGAUGCCCGAGUCAACAAGUUGCAUACCAUUGCAGCAGAGAUGUCUGAUUUUUCCAUCUGAAUAUCUGGAAUUGCUUUAUCACUUCAUUAGUCUCAUUAAUAAGCACUGAAGACUUCUGGGUAUUGAAGACAGAUGAAUUAAAUCCUCUUUGAAUGUUCUUGAUCUAAAGUAGAUGUAUUGGAUUCUCUGGAUGUGCAUAAGGACACCAAGGGACUCGAGCACUAUUGUCCACAUCAAUUGUCCCCUUUCCUGUUCACCCUUCAAAGCAUUUGCCUUGGUCCAUACCCUCAUGAACAAAGGAUGGGCAGGAAGAUGAUCUCUAUGCUUGCCUCCCCUUCCCUUGCACACCAAUGCGGAAAUCAUUGCAGUUUGCCCCACCGCAUGUAUUACUUGAAGAAAGUAACAGAAAACAAUUGUUAGACAAUUUCAAUUCUCUCCAAAGCUUACUAAUCCUCAGGCUU